rnacentral:rRNA from 1 species
UACGUAGGGUGCAAGCGUUGUCCGGAAUUAUUGGGCGUAAAGAGCUCGUAGGCGGUUUGUCGCGUCUGCUGUGAAAACCCGAGGCUCAACCUCGGGCCUGCAGUGGGUACGGGCAGACUAGAGUGCGGUAGGGGAGAUUGGAAUUCCUGGUGUAGCGGUGAAAUGCGCAGAUAUCAGGAAGAACACCUAUGGCGAAGGCAGCUCUCUGGGACGGUACUGACGCUGAGACGCGAAAGCGUGGGGAGCGAACAGG